UACGGAGGGUGCGAGCGUUGUCCGGAAUCAUUGGGCUUAAAGGGCGCGUAGGUGGCGGGACAAGCGUGCGGUGAAAGCUCGGGGCUCAACCCCGCGUCGGCCGUGCGAACUGUUUUGCUGGAGCACUGUAGAGGCAGGCGGAAUUCCGGGUGUAGCGGUGGAAUGCGUAGAGAUCCGGAAGAACACCGGUGGCGAAGGCGGCCUGCUGGGCAGUUGCUGACACUGAGGCGCGACAGCGUGGGGAGCAAACAGG
rnacentral:rRNA from 1 species